AAUGUUUGGAAAAUGACUGGAUUAGAUCCUCUUCAUUAAAGCACUACAGUGACGCAGCUGAAUCAGUGCAGCGUUUUAAGUGUAGACUUGCCCUCCGUUGGUGAAAUCUACUUAGAGCAUAUAGGACCAGUUUGGGGUAUCUGCCCUGUUUUUGACAGUCUGCCCUGACAUUGACACUUAUGGUCAUG